UGGGGAAUUGUUCACAAUGAGCGCAAGCCUGAUGACGCAACGCCGCGUGGGGGAUGAAGGUCUUCGGAUCGUAAACCCCUGUCGAAUGGGACGAAAGACUCGCGAGUGAAUACUUCGCGAGAGUGACGGUACCGUUAAAGGAAGCCACGGCUAACUCUGUGCCAGCAGCCGCGGUAAUACAGAGGUGGCAAGCGUUGUUCGGAAUUACUGGGCGUAAAGGGCGCGUAGGCGGCCCUCUAAGUCAGACGUGAAAUCCCCCGGCUUAACCUGGGAACUGCGUCUGAUACUGGAGGGCUUGAGUAUGGGAGAGGGAUGUAGAAUUCCAGGUGUAGCGGUGAAAUGCGUAGAUAUCUGGAGGAAUACCGGUGGCGAAGGCGGCAUCCUGGACCAUUACUGACGCUGAGGCGCGAAAGCUAGGGGAGCAAACGGGAUUAGAUACCCACGUAGUCCCUGAGCGGGC
rnacentral:rRNA from 1 species